UACGGAGGAUGCAAGCGUCAUCCGGAAUGAUUGGGCGUAAAGCGUCCGCAGGUGGCUAUGUAAGUCUGCUGUUAAAGAGUGAGGCUCAACCUCAUAAGAGCAGUGGAAACUACAUAGCUAGAGUGCGUUCGGGGCAGAGGGAAUUCCUGGUGUAGCGGUGAAAUGCGUAGAGAUCAGGAAGAACACCGGUGGCGAAGGCGCUCUGCUAGGCCGCAACUGACACUGAGGGACGAAAGCUAGGGGAGCGAAUGGG
rnacentral:rRNA from 1 species